rnacentral:rRNA from 1 species
GAUGAACGCUGGCGGCGUGCCUAAUACAUGCAAGUCGAGCGAACAGACGAGGAGCUUGCUCCUCUGACGUUAGCGGCGGACGGGUGAGUAACACGUGGAUAACCUACCUAUAAGACUGGGAUAACUUCGGGAAACCGGAGCUAAUACCGGAUAAUAUAUUGAACCGCAUGGUUCAAUAGUGAAAGACGGUUUUGCUGUCACUUAUAGAUGGAUCCGCGCCGGAUUAGCUAGUUGGUAAGGUAACGGCUUACCAAGGCGACGAUGCGUAGCCGACCUGAGAGGGUGAUCGGCCACACUGGAACUGAGACACGGUCCAGACUCCUACGGGAGGCAGCAGUAGGGAAUCUUCCGCAAUGGGCGAAAGCCUGACGGAGCAACACCGCGUGAGUGAUGAAGGUCUUCGGAUCGUAAAGCUCUGUUAUUAGGGAAGAACAAAUGUAGAUGUAACUAUGCACGUCUUGACGGUACCUAAUCAGAAAGCCACGGCUAACUUCGUG